AGAACGAACGCUGGCGGCAUGCCUAAUACAUGCAAGUCGAACGAGAUCUUCGGGUCUAGUGGCGCACGGGUGCGUAACGCGUGGGAAUCUACCCUUGGGUUCGGAAUAACAGUUGGAAACGACUGCUAAUACCGGAUGAUGACGAAAGUCCAAAGAUUUAUCGCCCAGGGAUGAGCCCGCGUAGGAUUAGCUAGUUGGUGAGGUAAAGGCUCACCAAGGCUACGAUCCUUAGCUGGUCUGAGAGGAUGAUCAGCCACACUGGGACUGAGACACGGCCCAGACUCCUACGGGAGGCAGCAGUAGGGAAUAUGGACAAUGGGGGCAACCCUGAUCCAGCAAUGCCGCGUGAGUGAUGAAGGCCUUAGGUUGUAAAGCUCUUUACCCGAGAUGAUAAUGACAGUAUCGGGAGAAUAAGCUCCGGCUAACUCCGUGCCAGCAGCCGC
rnacentral:rRNA from 1 species